rnacentral:rRNA from 1 species
AGAGGAUGAACAGCCACAAUGGGAUUGAGAUACGGCCCAUAUUCCUACGGGAAGCAGCAGUAGGGAAUCUUCCACAAUGGACGAAAGUCUGAUGGAGCAAUACCAUGUGAACGAUGAGUUUUUGAUUGUAAAGUUCUUUUAUGAGGGAUAACAACUGAUAGU